rnacentral:miRNA from 1 species
AGCCUCAUUGGCCAGAAGGGAUUCCUUCCGGUUGAUGUGGAUGUUAUACCUCAUCAACCGGAAGGAAUCCCUUCCAAUUGAUGAGAUGUAACAACCUCAUCGGCCAGAAGGAAUUCCUUAUGGUUGAUGAGGUA